rnacentral:rRNA from 1 species
ACUGAAAAUAAUUAAUUUAUUGAUUUAUUAUUAUAAAAAUAAUUUUAUUGUUUUAGUACUUAAUAAGGAAGCAAUUUUUGUUUUUUAACCGCAAGGGUCUUUUAUUGUUAAAAAAGUAAAAUUAAUUUUGUACCUUUUGUAUCAGGGUAAAUUAAAUAUGUUAUAUAAAUAUAUUUUUCCCGAAAUGGGGUGAUCUAAAAUAUUUUGUUAUUUAUUGUAGCAUAAAUAUUAAUAAAUAUAUUAUAGAAGUGAAAUUUUUUCGAACUCUUUGAUAUCUGGUUUCUUAAGAAAUGAAUUUAAUUCAGAAAAAGUAUAUUAUAUAAGCAUUUUUUAUAUUGAACUUUUUUAAUUGUGAUGGGGAUAAUCUUGUCAAUAAUAUCUAUAUGUUGUUUUAUAAUAAUAAUUAUUUAGGCUUAAAACCAGCCAUCAUAAGAUUAAGUUAAAUUUCAAUUUUAAUUAAUUUUUAUUAUAUUAAGUUUAGGUGUUUAUUAAGAAAAUUUAUAUAAUUAUUUAUAUUAAAUAUAAUGAUUUAAUUAGUAAAAUCGUAAUAUGAAUAUUAUGAAUUAGGCAAAAUUAAUUUUCACCUGUUUAUCAAAAACAUGUCUUUUAGAGAAAAAUUAAAAGUCUAAUCUGCCCAAUGAUUAUUAAAUGGCCGCGGUAAACUGACCGUGCAAAGGUAGCAUAAUAAUUAGUCUUUUAAUUGAAGGCUUGUAUGAAUGAUUGAAUGAAAGAUUUUCUUUAUUGUUUUUAACAUUUUAAUUUAAUUUUUAAGUAAAAAAGCUUAAAUUAUUAUGUGGGACGAGAAGACCCUAUAGAGUUUAAAAAUUAAUCUAAUCAAUUAUUUUUGGUUUCUGUUAUUAAAUAGAUUAAAUUAAUUUUUUUGUUGGGGUGAUAUUAAAAUUUAAAAAACUUUUAAUUUAUUUUUCAUUAAUUAAUGAUUUUAUGUUCUUAUUUUAAAAAUAAAGGACUAAAUUACCUUAGGGAUAACAGCGUAAUUAAACUAUAGAGUUCUAAUCGACAGUUUAGUUUGCGACCUCGAUGUUGGAUUAAGAAAAGAUUUUGGGGCAAGUUCUAUUAUGUCUAGGUCUGUUCGACCUUUAAAUUCUUACAUGAUCUGAGUUCAAACCGGCGUGAGCCAGGUUGGUUUCUAUCUACAUUAAUAUUUUAAAUAUUAGUACGAAAGGACCAUAUUAAUUAAUAAAAUUAU